rnacentral:lncRNA from 1 species
CCGUCACUCUCUGUGCUUCUAUGAAAGGGCGCUGCUCAGCAUCUGCUCAGGUAGCCUCAGGCUUUUCCUUCCAGAGCCCUCCUGAGUCCCCAGAAGAGGCAUGACCCCACCACAGGUGUCUGUGUGGACGUCCCUGGAGCCCACCCCUUGCCAGCAAUGGGACGCGGCUCUCUCUCUGCGGCUCGGGUGCUCUCCACGGCUUGUUUGGAAAUGAUGAGAGGCAGGAUUCCGUCAGCAGGAAACAGGCCGGCUGGAUCUCCGGAGAGUGUGUCUGUCCCAGGGAGAGCGGGUGAGGGCGGCGAUGGCGGAACCUCAAGCAGGGAGCCCCCCAGCCUGGAGCCUCGCCCCUCUGUCAUCUGCUGCAGCAGGGGCGGUGGGGGGCUUGCCAAGUAUCCAGGGCCUUAAAAAGUUCACCCCCAUCGGUGAUCCAUCCAGAGGGAUGAUGAAAUGUGCCUGCACAGAGAUUGAUGUACCAGGAUGUUCGUCACAGUGUUAUUUAUAAUCUCGAAAAGGGGCGCCAAAGCACAUGUCCAGUGGGAGAGGAAGGAUGAGAAAAGACCGGAGGGAGCUGGUGUUCACAGCUGAUGUGAGCGCUGCGGCUUCUGGAGCCAGAACCAAAGAGGAGCCAUUGGAGACACGUGAAGGCGGCCGCGUUCCCAGCCCCGCAGGCCGGUGCGGAUUUGAGCCAAGGGUCUGGCAGAUGGACUCUUCCUCCGUGAGAGGGGAAGAGGGAACAGCUGCCCGAGGGGAAAACCCUGGUCCCCAACCUCCACAGGCAUGGCCGGCACUCUGUCCCGGCUCCCUGUGGUGCAAGCUCAGUCAUUCAUCAUCUCCGGGCCUCCGGAUUAUUCCAGGGCUGAUUAAAUUAGCGAAUGCAAUCACAAUCUGAAGCGAGUUAAUUGAGAGAAUUUAUUUGGGCCUGACAGUUUUAUGCAUGUUUGAUUAAGUAUUAUAAGGUUUGUUUUUGAUUUUGCAUAAUUUAACUUUAAAUCCUGCACUGGGGGGCCCAUCAACCAUUAACGACCAAAAUAAACCUCUUUUAAGAUGCAUCUAUUUAUGAUUUAUUUCUGAAUGCAAUAUCUUCCAGAUUUUUUUUGGUGCUGUUGCCAAAGUGACAAAUAUGUUAAAAGUAACAUUUUGAGCCA